UGGGGAAUAUUGGGCAAUGGGCGAAAGCCUGACCCAGCAACGCCGCGUGAAGGAUGAAGGCUUUCGGGUUGUAAACUUCUUUUAUCAGGGACGAAGAAAGUGACGGUACCUGAUGAAUAAGCCACGGCUAACUACGUGCCAGCAGCCGCGGUAAUACGUAGGUGGCAAGCGUUAUCCGGAUUUACUGGGUGUAAAGGGCGUGUAGGCGGGACUGCAAGUCAGAUGUGAAAACUAUGGGCUCAACCCAUAGCCUGCAUUUGAAACUGUGGUUCUUGAGUGAUGGAGAGGCAGGCGGAAUUCCCUGUGUAGCGGUGAAAUGCGUAGAUAUAGGGAGGAACACCAGUGGCGAAGGCGGCCUGCUGGACAUUAACUGACGCUGAGGCGCGAAAGCGUGGGGAGCAAACAG
rnacentral:rRNA from 1 species